AGCCCCUUGGAUUUAUAAGGGGUCCCGCCUGCCCAGUGGCCUGAAGCUAAACGGCCGCGGUAUCUUGACCGUGCAAAGGUAGCAUAAUCACUUGUCUUUUAAAUGGAGACUCGUAUGAAUGGCGAAACCUUUUUUAACUGUCUCUCCCUCUACCCUUCUAAAUUUCUUUUCGCGUGAAGAAGCGCAAAUACCCCAGAAAGACGAGAAGACCCUGUCGAGCUUCAGCUAACAAGCGAACGAGUGACCCUCAUCACUGAUUUUUCGCUCAAAAGCUUUGGUUGGGGCAACCAUGGAGCAAAUCCACCCUCCAGAACACGUAGAAGAGCACUCCUCUCUACUAUCACUUUAAAGAACCACGAAUUGGUAACCGGAAAAAGUUACCGCAGGGAUAACAGCGUCAUCCCCUCUGAGAGUCCUUAUUGACGAGGGGGUUUGCGACCUCGAUGUUGGAUUGGGGCCCCCUUAGGGUGCAGAAGCUCUAAACGGUUAGACUGUUCGUCUAUUAAAGCCCU
rnacentral:rRNA from 23 species